UACGGAGGGUGCAAGCGUUAUCCGGAUUCACUGGGUUUAAAGGGUGCGUAGGCGGGUUGGUAAGUCAGUGGUGAAAUCUUCAAGCUUAACUUGGAACUGCCGUUGAUACUAUCAAUCUUGAAUGUUGUGGAGGUAAGCGGAAUAUGUCAUGUAGCGGUGAAAUGCUUAGAUAUGACAUAGAACACCGAUAGCGAAGGCAGCUUGCUACACAAAAAUUGACGCUGAGGCACGAAAGCGUGGGAUCAAACAGG
rnacentral:rRNA from 1 species